GUUAAAGUAAUUGAAACACUUAGAAAAUUUUUGUCAAAAGUGUACACAUUAAAAAAAAAAUUCCAAAAAUGAUAGUAUCAGUGAUAAUUAACUAGUUUAAACUAGAUUACCACGCUAAAGUUUAUUAUUAGUUAUUAGUUAUUUUAUAUAUUCAGCUCAGUAUUGUAAAUUUACGAAGAAAAUAUAAAAUCAUCAUCUAUUUUAAUGCAAGUUACUGUAAAUGAUUUGAAAUUUGACACUUUAUACAUUUCAUGUAGUUGGAAAAGGGUAUCUCAGAAAAAAUGUCUGUGCAAAAGAAGUAAAUGAAUUGAUUGUUAAAUACAUAUUAUUAUUUCAAUAAAUCUACAUGAAGUUAUGUACAAUGAAAUAAUAUCCAUUUAAUUAUAGGCUUUAAGUUUAACUAUAAAUUAAUUAAAGUCUGUGAUUCAAUCAUUCAGACACUAUAAUAAUCAGAUGGGAUUGCAUUGCUUGCCAUUUUUAAAUUCUAAGAAUUCAUGUUUUUGGAUAACAAUAAAUAAAUAAAUAAACAAAACAAAAACAGUGCAUGAAAUAAUCUCAUAUAUUCUAUAUUAAAUUAAUCAAUAUAUAUUGCUUUUAUUUAGGAAAAUAAAUACUACAUCCACUGAGAUUUUACGCUACACACAUCAGAGCCUUGAUAAAAUUCAUUGACCAUCUGUGCAUGACUAAUUUACUCCCUGGUCAUUCCGACAGAUCAGGCUGUUCCAUGUGAUUAUUUUGGGGAGAGAUAACAUUAUAAAUUUCAUAUGCAGAAUGUGUCUAGAAGGACAUUGCAAUCUUUUUGUACAAAAAUUUUUAAUGAUUUUUAAAAUCUAUAUAUCUAUUAGCUAUUUGAUAUUUUCUUUUACGCUCAAAGAAUGAAAGUUAAAAUGAUGAGUAGAUUAACCCUGCUUUACAUAAUGAUAGACCUGUCCAGUUUUACAGUAACUGUUGUAAAAUUUGAAUUCUAAGAUAUCUGGGUCAGCAAAGAGAGCAGAGGAUGUACUUGAUAUUUUAGCAGUUUUGGAGAUAUUGUUUUGUUUAACAUUUAAAGUGUUUAAGUAUUGGUAUGAUAACAAUCAGAAUCACCUGGGACAAGGAGAUAUACAACAGAAUCAGGCUGGGACAUAAGUGCUGACUGUGAGAAAUAGCGGCAGUGUUUAAUAAUGAUGUGCAGUAUUAAUCCUGAAAAGGUCAGCACAACCAUAAGAAGUUCUAGGAAACACUGGCAGAGGACUAAAAAUGGACACCGAUAAAAGAAAUAGUAAUUUAAAUAAUCAGAAACAUUUAAAACAAAUUUAAGAUUGAAUAGUUUGUCACUGACAGACUAAGAGCAAAAUAAUUGCUUAAAACAAAGUGUUGGAUUCUAAGAAAACAAGAACCUACCAAAACCUGCAGCUAGAAAAAAACUGUGUUAUAGUGAAUGUAGGCUGUUCUAUUCUGUAUUUGGACUAAAGGAUAUGUAUUAAAUUUUGUGAUAGAAAUAUGUGAUCAUGUUAAACUCAUGAAAAUUCUACCCCAAACAUUCCUGUGCUGAAUUCCAUCCCAGAAUUUUACAUUUUAAGAACAUUCAGGGAUGCUGGAAUUAGGCUGGAUUUUUUCAAUGUCAUUCCAUCAAGGCUGGACUAUUUACCAUGGUAAUUGGAAGAAAACAUUAGUAUAUGAAAAAUUUAACAUCAGCUUCUUUUUACAAUUUAUGAUUAAAUAAGUUUAUCAUGGUAAUUAAUGCCUUUUUUUUUUUGCAUGUUAUAUAGGAUUCAGAGACUGUUAUACGUAGCAGCUCCCUUUCCAAAUAGGGUUUACAGUUUUUGCAAGCCUGCGAUUAAGCUUGCGCAAGCUUAUACAUUAAGCUUGCGCAAGCUUAUACAUUAAGCUUGUAGUUAUACAUGCACAAGCUUGCGACUUAGCCUGUGCAGGCUUGCAGAUAAACUUGCGCAAGCUUGCAAAUAAGCUUGCGCAAGCUUACGAUUAAGCUUGCGCAAGCUUGCGAUUAAGCUUGCGCAAGCUUGCGAUUAAGCUUGCGCAAGCUUGCGAUUAAGCUUGCGCAAGCUUAAAUAUUAACUAGUUUGCAGUCAGAUUUUUUUUAAAUAACUGAUCCCAAGCUUGCCGCAAGGUUCCAAUUACUAGCCAGUAGCAAGCUUGCAACUUAAGCUUGCAGCAAGCUUGUGACAAGCUUGCAAU